UAGGCUGGCCCUUAAAAGUUCACCAGAAUUCUAUCAUAAUAUUCCUUUUGUUAUUCCUUUAAAAAUGUUUAAAAUUAAAACCAAACUUUGCUGGCAAUAUAUAAGUGCAGCUUGGCAAAAGUCUCCCCGACUAUAUAGUGCUUUUUAUUUUCUUGAUUUGGAGAGGGGCUGCCAGCUAAUCGCUUUUUAUGGAGCCUUAGUGAGCUUAAUGAAGAUCUGUUGGACAUAUUAUCUAGUCUACCAAUUGGACACCAGGUCAUUGUUUCCAGAUCCCAAAUGGGUAUAUUUUAUAUUUAAAGAUCAAAAGUACGAACUCGUUUAUCACUACACACACUAUCAAUUCCAUGUGGGUGUAUAUCUUAUGACUCUACUUAAUUCCGUGCUGCUUUUCUUGGGAGUAAAAUGGGCUCAUGUGGUCUUUCUCUAUUAUUGGAUUUACAUUUCCCUCCUCACCUGGACCAUUGGACAUUGCCAUGCGCUGUUAGACAACUUGGACUUUUUUCAAAUAUUUAUAUUUUCAAUACCAACAUUUAUGCUUCAAUAUUAUUUUCUCAUAAUAAUUAUGUCAUUAAUUUGGAAAAUCUGCGAGAAGACGAAUGCUAGUGUCCAGGAAAAAGAAGAACCAGGCUUGCAGCUCGUUGAAUAAUUUGAAUUUUGAAGGUUAAGAAUGGUCUAAUUUAAAACUACGAUAUAAAGACUUCAUAUAUAUAUGCUUUAAUAAAUUAAUUUAAUUAAAGGAACAU